rnacentral:rRNA from 1 species
AUUGGUCAAUGGGCGCAGGCCUGAACCAGCCAAGUAGCGUGAAGGAUGACUGCCCUAUGGGUNGUAAACUUCUUUUAUAUGGGAANNCCNNNUNCCACGUGUGGAAUUUUGUAUGUACCAUAUGAAUAAGNNNCNGNUAACUCCGUGCCAGCAGCCGCGGUAAUACGGAGGAUCCGAGCGUUAUCCGGAUUUAUUGGGUUUAAAGGGAGCGUAGGUGGACAGUUAAGUCAGUUGUGAAAGUUUGCGGCUCAACCGUAAAAUUGCAGUUGAUACUGGCUGUCUUGAGUACAGUAGAGGUGGGCGGAAUUCGUGGUGUAGCGGUGAAAUGCUUAGAUAUCACGAAGAACUCCGAUUGCGAAGGCAGCUCACUGGACUGCAACUGACACUGAUGCUCGAAAGUGUGGGUAUCAAACAGG